rnacentral:misc_RNA from 1 species
AACGCACGAGACCUGCGGACCUGCGGAGGGAUCAUUACCGAGCUUUAGGAGUUUUGCUUUUUAGCAUCUCUCCUUUCUCUCUUUUUUCACCCUUUUUGUUAUCAUUUUUCUCAGUUGCUUUGGCAGGAUUGUCGACCCGCUUUCGAUCUUCUGCCAAGGGAUUUUUCUUAAACACCUUUUAUCCAAUAAUCGGGGAUUAUCUCUCGUCUGAUUUAUGAAUAAGUACAAAAAACUUUCAAC